GGUGAAGAACGUAGCGAAAUGCGAUAAGUAGUGUGAAUUGCAGAAUUCCGUGAAUCAUCGAAUCUUUGAACGCACAUUGCGCCCCCUGGUAUUCCGGGGGGCAUGCCUGUCCGAGCGUCAUUGCUGCCCUCAAGCACGGCUUGUGUGUUGGGCCCCGUCCUCCGAUCCCGGGGGACGGGCCCGAAAGGCAGCGGCGGCACCGCGUCCGGUCCUCGAGCGUAUGGGGCUUUGUCACCCGCUCUGUAGGCCCGGCCGGCGCUUGCCGAUCAACCCAAAUUUUUAUCCAGGUUGACCUCGGAUCAGGUAGGGAUACCCGCUGAACUUAAGCAUAUCAAUAAGCGGAGGA
rnacentral:misc_RNA from 1 species